UACGUAGGGUGCAAGCGUUGUCCGGAAUUAUUGGGCGUAAAGGGCUCGUAGGCGGUUUGUCGCGUCGGGAGUGAAAACUCAGGGCUUAACCCUGAGCCUGCUUCCGAUACGGGCGGGCUAGAGUUCGGUAGGGGAGACUGGAAUUCCUGGUGUAGCGGUGAAAUGCGCAGAUAUCAGGAGGAACACCGGUGGCGAAGGCGGGUCUCUGGGCCGAUACUGACGCUGAGGAGCGAAAGCGUGGGGGGAGCGA
rnacentral:rRNA from 1 species